UCUUGGGAUAGGAUUUUGGUGUGAUAUAAAUAUAUUUAAAAAAAAACCAAGUGUUUAAAAUUUUUAAUGAUAAUGAUAAUUUAAUGAUGUUUCCAACAUAUGCUACGUUUGUUAUAGAUAGCCCUUUGUUCGUUCACUUCGUUAUUUGACGACGAUCUCCUUCAUCUUUAGAGGAGACUGGAGAGACUUGAUUUCAGCGUUUAGUUAAAAAAAAAGUCAAACUAAAGUUUAUUAUCUAUUUCAACUAUAACAUUCAAUGCCUCGAUCAGUUAGGGACAAUUACAACCUAAUUAUUGCAUUAUAUACUUUGAAAACUGGGUCAUUAGUAUGAGAUGUUGUGAUCGUUUGAAAAAGUUACUAGUGCUAGAAAAACGUGGUCGACAUUCAAUACAUGUUUGUUUUAACCAGCAGUUUUGUUUUGGCGCUUCCUCUUGGUUUGUUUGUGUGCUGCUGUGAAUAACAUUUUCGAGCUCAAUGCAUUCCAUCCACGUUCGUCGGUUAAGCAUAUAGCCGCGUUAUGCCAUUAUGCCUUUUUAAAACUUCAACCAAUCAUCAGUUCGCCGAACACGUUGCAAUUCAUGGAGAGUCCUUCGGUCUGAGGCAGCUCGGAAAUACUAUCAGUAAGGAUUACAGUAGGGGGAGAGGGGGUAAUAUGCACCCCCGGGGCAAAAUGCACCCUCUGCUUUUCUCGGUAUUUGGAAGAAUUUUCCGGGAAAAAAUCAUAGAAAUUGGAAGCUUAACAUUGCUAAACCAUGCUGGAAAAAUUUGAGCAUCGUAGUAUAAAAACAGCUUAAGUAAUUUGCAAAACUUUAAAAUGUCGUGUUUUCAUCUAAUUUUCAUUGAACUUUCAUUAUGAUUUUUGGACAAUUUAAAAAGCAUUUAUUGAUAUUGUAAGUGUUGAGGUAUAUAGUUUUUGCCAUAAUCUUCAUUAUUCUGUAGAUAGACGAGUCCAAAAACAUCAAAAAAUGCAUUUUUAAUACAAUUUUCUGCAAAAAGCGUGGUCGGGGCAAAAUGCACCGCUGUGAAGCUCCUUUGUAAAAACAGCGGUGUCAUCUAGUGGUGACUAGUGAAAACUGCUUUUACCCGGUGCAUUUUGCCCCAUGUUGUGGUGCAUUUUGCCCCGUUGUUGUAGUGCAUUUUGCCCCAAUGUUGCGGUGCAUAUUGCCCCGCAUGCUUAAUUGAAAUGAAUCAAAAAUGUUUUUAGAAAUUUUAUAUUUUCGAACAAUUUUGAGGUUUUUUAAGAUUUUUUUCACAUGGAUGACGAAGAAUGAUAGUUGUUUUAGAACAUCGAACAAAUUUCUUCCACAGUAAUGCUGUAAUGGUUGAGAAAUGACAGUUUUCCCUUAGGGGGUGCAUAUUACCCCCUCUCCCCCUACAGUCAUGCCUCGGUUUUGCACUGCCCCGGUUUUGCACCGUUCAGCUGCCUCGGUUAAGCACGGCCCAGUGCUUAACUGAAGCACAGAGCUUAUGGGAUUUUGGCUAUAUGGGAGACAUUGGCUUUAAUCGUAUGAAAAAUCAUGCAAACAUAAAAAAAUUAUAGUGUUUUGGAAUCGGGAUGAUGUCAGUUAUCCAUUUAAAUUAUUAUUUCAUGAAAAUUUUCACAAAAAUACGUAUUUUUCCUGUAUUUCGAAAAUGCAUUUUUUUUCUCUACAGAAUCCAAAAAUAUAUUGUUAUUGCAAUAUGGUAAAUGAUCAGGUUUUUUUUUAUACAUUUUGGAUGUAAUAACAACAUUUUUAGAAAAUACUUCAAUUUUCACAAAACUACGUAUUUUCGAAAAAAAUACUCAAAAUUUCAAUUUUUAACAAUAUGGGUAUCAAACGAUCGGGAUUUUUUCAUACAUUUCGAAUGUAUUAACAACAUUUCUAGAAAAUACUCAAAAUUUUCACAAAACUACGUAUUUUCGAAAAAAAAUACUCAAAAUUUCAAUUUUUACAAUAUGGGUAUCAAACGAUCGGGAUUUGUUCAUACAUUUCGAAUGUAAUAACAACAUUUUUUGAAAAUACUCAUAAUUUUCACAAAACUACGUACUUUCGAAAAAAAUACUCAAAAUUUCCGUUUUUACAAUGUGGGUAUCAAACGAUUGGGAUUUUUAAUACAUUUCGAAUGUAAUCAUUUUUUUGAAAAUUCUCAAAAUUUUCACAAAACUUCGUAUUUUCAAAAAAAAAAAUCAGUUAUUGCAGUUAAUAUUAUAUUAUUAUAUUACUAUCGUUUGGUACCCGUAUUGUAAAAAUUUAAAUUUUGAGUAUUUUUUUUUCGAAAAUACGUAGUUUUGUGAAAAUUUUGAGUAUUUUCUGAAAAUGUUGUUAUUACAUUCGAAAUGUAUGAAAAAAUCCCGAUCGUUUGAUACCCAUAUUGUAAAAAUUGAAAUUUUGAGUAUUUUUUUUCGAAAAUACGUAGUUUUGUGAAAAUAUUGGGUAUUUUCAAAAAAUGUUGUUAUUACAUUCGAAAUGUAUGAAAAAAUCCCGAUCGUUUGAUACCCAUAUUGUAAAAUUAAAUUUUUAGUAUUUUUUCGAAAAAAACGUAGUUUUGUGAAAAUUUGGAGUAUUUUCUAAAAAUGUUAUUAUUACAUCCAAAAUGUAUGAAAAAAACUUGAUCAUUUGAUACCCAUAUUGCAAAAACAAUAUAUUUUUGGUUACCUUAGAGAAAAAGUAUGCAUUUUCGAAAUACAGGAAAAAUACGUAUUUUUGUGAAAAUUUUCAUGAAAUAAUAAUUUUAAUGGAUAGCUGACAUCAUCCCAAUUCCAAAAAAACACUAUAAUUUUUUGAUGUUUGCAUGAUUAUUCAUAGAAUUAUAGCCAAUGUCUCCCAUAUAGCCAAAAUCCCAUAAGCUCUGUGCCUCGGUUAUGCACGCCUCGGUUUUGCAUCCCCCAUAUGCGGUGCUAAACCGAGGCACGACUGUACCGUCAUCAGGGGUGACAUUGGCAGCAUUUUUGUAUGACUCAAUCUCACCCCCCAGACCCAAUGUCACCCCUGAUGACGGUAGGCCAAAGUUAAUUAUUAAUUUAAUAUCAAAGUCACUUUUAAACAGUAUAGAAAUAGCACUGCCCAUGAUUGAAAACUCGGCUAUUAUGCCAAAUCAACUAUUACGAGAAAAACGCGUUUUAGUGUUUGUCACCAAAUCUCCAUCAAGGCAAUUUCCCAUAAGGCUCCCGGUCGGAAAUGGCGGACGCAUUUCUGGCGUUCGUCUGGGGGCUUGCGCCAGCCAUCUGGCAGAAUUUCCCCCAGAUUUACCCCAGAUUUCUGCCAUUAUUUCUGGCGAAUAUGACACAAACCGGUCGUGCUCGGUUCAACCGAUUGAACGUGUUUAUUUUGUUGUCAGACAGCUGGCAGAAAUUUUGCCCGAUUUUCGCCAGAUUCGUCUGGCGUUACGCAAAACUUGGCUACACGCAAAACGGACAUUAGGUAUAAAUUCCUAUUUUUCAGUAUUUUUUGAACUUAUGUUCUAGCUUGUCAAAUUAUAACUAAAAAAUAGUAUUUUUUUCUUCCUAAAAUUUAGUAUUUUUUUAGAACACUGAAGUACUUCUUCAAAAUUCCGAAAUUUUAGGAUUUUUUUAGUUCAAGAAUUGUGAUUCACGAAUUGACAUGUCAAUGUCAAAAUAAUUUCGCGGCUGUAAGUUUGUGUUCCAUGGUGCUGCUGUUAAUUUUCAAAUUGUGGGAAGUGGCAAGGUAAGUUUUGAUCGGGAAUGCAUUUUGAGUUGGCCGACGAAACUUUCCACGUGGCCACCCGGAUCCGGUGAGGCCCCGGCUGGGUCGGCAGAAACGCAAAGCCGUACCCGACCGGCCAAAAGUUGUCGAACUAGUUCAAACAAGUCGAACCGCGGCAGGCCAGAUGCAAAUCGAGCGGAGUUCCAAAGUGGGACCGCCGAGGAUCGACGCGGGCCGUGUUGGCGACACUCUGUCCCUCCCCUGUUUGAAAAAUGUCGCACGUCGUACGAGUUGUCGCACGGUUGUGAUUUUACCGUUUUGAUAUCGAUUGGUCGAAAGGACGACAAACGGACGACAAACACUCGACAUGCUCGACAUGGUUUUUUCAAUCGAUUUACCUUCAAUUCGACGUCGAUUAUCGUCGACGCAAACAGUUUGACAGUUCUCUUCUGUUGAUCUUGUUCGGACUUGAUUGCAACCGAGUCGAACCAGUUGUUGUUGCUUUUAGGCUUUUGGAGGAUUUUGGACAGUUAAUAGGUAAGUUGUUUACUAGGUUCAAUUACUUUUUCUGCCGGAAAGUUCCGGCCGGAGUGGGCGAGUGACCGAAUCAAAGUGUCUUGUAUUCCAGAUUUCGGUCUUCGUGGCGGAGGAGGAGGAGGACGGGAAAUAUGGUUUACUCGGCGGGCCAUUCCGGAAGACGGGACGGGAAGGAACCAGUUUGCGAUAUUGGAAGCGGUUGGUGUUUGGUGUUUUACCGUCCGCGGGAUGUUGCGACGCAUACCUAAUGGAACUGGCAACAAACAUUUUCCAAUCUGAUUCUGCCGGAAACCGGAAUGCGUUCCCGUGUGGUCACUCCUAGAAUCCACGGAAGCAGCCCCGUUUUUUCGUACUCGUACUCCACAAAACCCACGUUUCCUCGUACUCCGGUAAACAUUAAUCCGUCGGAGAUCCAAGAUCGUCGCCAAGGCGUCGCAUCCGGGUUUUGAUCAGCUCGUCGAGAAACAAAAGUCCAACACGACCAAGAUGCUGCCACGGCCGCCUCAGAAGAACACCAACACCCAAGCCGGAAGCUGCGGUCAAGGCAAAUCCAGAAGGAAGCCAAGUUGGGGAAGAAUCGGCGAUACGCAAGUGAAAUUAAGUGUACAAUAAAUAUGUUUGUGAAAUUUUGACAGCUGGAAUAAAAAAAAAAUCAAUAAAAACAAAACAACAGUUUUUUCAACUGCAACAUAACCCAAAAAUCCGAAAUGACAGCACACGACAAUAGCACGACAUUCUAAAUAACAAAACCGUGCGACGUUGGUCGAAUGUUGUACGACAAUGUCGUACAAUUUCGAUCAUCGAUCGCACGACAAAUACGACAUUUUGGUGCAAAAACGUAUGACAUUCGUGCGAAAGUCGCACGACAUUGUCGAGCGACGUCGUACGAUUGCACAGACGACAAACGACGGACGUCCGACGGACUUUUCAGUCAGGGACACUGCGAUCGCGACAAUGUCGUGCGACUUUCGCACGAAUGUCAUACGUUUUUGCACCAAAAUGUCGUAUUUGUCGUGCGAUCGAUGAUCGAAAUUAGGGCGUCCAAUUUUCCCGGGUUUUAAAUUUCCCGGGAAACGGGAAAAAUAUUUUUGAAAUCCCGGGAAUUCCUGGGAUCCCGGGAAAUUUUUAAAGCUGUCAUAAAAUCUAUGUUUUCAUAAUAUUUGAUAUGUUUUCAAGCUUAAAAUCAUAGAAUAAGCUGAAUAAUAUUAAUUGGUGACAAUCUACACUUCAAUCUAAACAAAGACGACAGUUUUUAAAUAGCUUAAAAGAAAUUUAAAAUUGAUUUUGUUGUUCUUUGUUGUGCUAUGGAUUUAAAAUAAACUACCAUUUUGAAUUCAAAUGUGACUCAAAUUAAAUAAGUGUUUUAAAAGAAUACAUACCAAUUAUAUAUGUGUUCUAUAUGACAUGCCUAUAAAAGCUCGAUUUUUUUGAAAAUGUCUAAAAAACAAAAGCGUUUACAAAUAAAAUGAUUCCAGCCAAUAUUUAAUUUUAAAUAUGUUUUGAAUUUCUUGUUUUAAAUAAAACAUAUUUUACAAAUUAUUUUUAUGUUACCACCGCCAACUGUUGAAAAUCGGGACUAAAGUCUGGAUAGGUACAGAAGAUUUCAGAGGAAUAUAAUUGGAAAUUGUAUACUAGGAAUUGUAAUGUUCUGUUUCUGUUUUGACCGAAGUCAUUCAAAACAUUAUGCAAACAAAUGGCUCGAAUAGCUAAUUCGUUACAUUUGUCUUGAUUUGCCCCAGAUGCCGGUAUUUGAUGAAAAAUAGUUUUAUCUGAUUUAUUUUAAUUCAAAA